UACGCGUUCAAGCUCUAAUUCCUUUCUACAGGCAGCCCCUCUCCUGCACAGCUGAAGCAAAUCAAACCUUUGAUUUCAGGAGACAGAAGCCUGCUUAUUUUGCCAUGAAGUUGGGUGGGGGGUUGCUGUGCUCUUGCUCUCUCUGCAAAGCGUUCCCUUAGAAAGAGCAAAAGCCCCAGAGCCUCACAGCAGGAGGAACCAUGUGCUGCGUAUCUGUGUGUUUGACCUAGCACAAAAGUGCUGCCAGGCAGACUAUGCUUUGGCCUCAGAUGGCCGGCUGCCUGGCCUGGGCUUUUUCACUCUGUAGGAGUGUUCUGCAAAGCAGAGAAAAGAAGCAGAGGAUGAAAGGAGAGCUGGUUACCCAGGCUGCUGCUGUGAGGGGACUGUGCUAGAGCUUUUCAGAAGGUGUGUCUUAGUGAGAUGGAAGAUGGUAUGUUGCUAUUGUAAGAGCAUUCUAAGCUGUGGAUCGUGAGCCAACAGAUACUUCCGAUUGAGUCCAGAGGAAGAUUUUCCUGGUUUUCAGCCACUGAUUUUGGCUGCCUUAACUUGGAAAGAUGCUCCCUUGAUGCAUGUGUGGUCUCCUGAAAGCUGGGUGCAACGCUACUGUGGUUUGAAGCUCUGUGUGAGGCAUCAAGAUGUCGGUGAGUAGAGCCUCAAUGCUGAGGAUACAUCACUUUGCAGAAGAGCAGACAGUAUUUCAGCAGCUGGAGCCUCACAGGAGCUAUCACUCUCUGGCUGAUGCGGAGGACAGAGGCACCAGUCUGGCAGAGAGGUCUCGUCAUCCCUGCUGGGGUCCAAGGAAUUUGCAGAUGUUACCUAAAUGUGGGCACCCUAUGGCAUCCCUGCUCUGGCUCCCUUCAAGUUUUGGAAGGCUGCAAUGAGGUCUCUGUG